rnacentral:rRNA from 1 species
CCCCUAGAUGUUCUGGGCCGCACGCGCGCUACACUGAACAGUUCAACAAGUCUUAACCUUGGCCGAUAGGUCUGGGUAAUCUUUGAACGCUGUUCGUGAUUGGGAUAGACCUUUGCAAUUAUUGGUCUUCAACGAGGAAUUCCUAGUAAACGCAAGUCAUCAGCUUGCAUUGAUUACGUCCCUGCCCUUUGUACACACCGCCCGUCGCACCUACCGAUUGAAUGGUCCGGUGAAAUCUCGGGACGGCGGCUUGGUCGCUUGCGUCCGACUGCUGAAACUUGAUUAAACCAUAUCAUUUAGAGGAAGGUGAAGUCGUAACA